UGUUGUCGUCCGCCAGGCCCUUGGAGGCUUCGAAGUGGUAGCCUUUGGUCGGCCAGUGGCCGACGAUGGCCGCGCCGUGCGGUUCGAUGAUGUCGC
rnacentral:tRNA from 1 species